GAGUUUGAUCCUGGCUCAGAACGAACGCUGGCGGCAGGCUUAACACAUGCAAGUCGAACGCCCCGCAAGGGGAGUGGCAGACGGGUGAGUAACGCGUGGGAACGUGCCCUUCGCUUCGGAAUAGUCCCGGGAAACUGGGUUUAAUACCGAAUACGCCGUAUUGGGAAAGAUUUAUCGGCGAAGGAUCGGCCCGCGUUAGAUUAGGUAGUUGGCGGUGUAAUGGACCACCAAGCCUACGAUCUAUAGCUGGUCUGAGAGGAUGAUCAGCCACACUGGGACUGAGACACGGCCCAGACUCCUACGGGAGGCAGCAGUGGGGAAUCUUGGACAAUGGGCGCAAGCCUGAUCCAGCCAUGCCGCGUGAGUGAAGAAGGCCUUAGGGUUGUAAAACUCUUUCGCCGGAGAAGAUAAUGACGGUAUCCGGAGAAGAAGCCCCGGCUAACUUCGUGCCAGCAGCCGCGGUAAUACGAAGGGGGCUAGCGUUGUUCGGAAUUACUGGGCGUAAAGCGCACGUAGGCGGGUCUGUAAGUAGAGGGUGAAAUCCCAGGGCUCAACCCUGGA
rnacentral:rRNA from 1 species